rnacentral:rRNA from 1 species
GACGAACGCUGGCGGCGUGCUUAACACAUGCAAGUCGAACGGAAAGGCCCUGCUUUUGUGGGGUGCUCGAGUGGCGAACGGGUGAGUAACACGUGAGUAACCUGCCCUUGACUGUGGGAUAACUUCAGGAAACUGGGGCUAAUACCGGAUAGGAGCUCCUGCUGCAUGGUGGGGGUUGGAAAGUUUCGGCGGGUGGGGAUGGAGUCGGGGGUAACCAGCUGGUUGGGGGGGGAGCGGCUAACGAGGGCUUCGAUGGGUGGCCGGCCUGAGAGGGGAACCGGGCACAUGGGGACUGCGAUACGGCGCAGACGGCUACGGGAGGCAGCGGGGGGGAAUAUGGCACAAUGGGCGGAAGCCUGAUGCAGCAACGCCGCGUGCGGGAUGACGGCCUUCGGGUUGGAAACCGCUUUCGCCUGUGACGAAGCGUGAGUGACGGUAAUGGGUAAAGAAGCACCGGCUAACUACGUG